rnacentral:lncRNA from 1 species
GCAAAAUCUCAGCUCAUUGCUGGGGGUUAGUCAUGUCAAUUCCCCACCCAGGGAGCAGAAGAAUGUAUGUCUCCAGGCAAGGGAGUGACAUGACUGGCCUAAGGGAUUGGUCAUCUUGCAGAGCAGGUGAUGCCACUGAAGUAGGAAAAAGUCACCCAAAGAAGACUCUGUGGACUCUCCCCACAUCCAGAAGCAGCUUAGGAAUGCAGGUGCCGUAGGAACCUACGUAGAACAGAAAGUAGCUGAACAUAGCUGCUUGCAUAAAUAGUGCCUGGAUCCUGCUGGAUGAGCAGUUGGUGAAGAAAGGGUCCCGAAAAUUAUCAUCCACCAAAUGCAACUCUCUCCUCAAACCAGAAUCCAUUUUCUCACUUUCGUCGUCGUUGUCGUUGUUCCGGUCAUUGUUGCUGAGCAUCACCUUGUACUGACUGAUGAUUUGUCGUAGAUACUGAAAAAUAUCCCAUUGAUCAGAUUUUACCAACUGUUCAGGCAAGAGAUCAUGAAAGGAGAGACUGGCUGACAAGGGCCUGAUUACUUUGCUUACAAAAGCUUUUUGUAGCUGUCAUUGUCUGGGCUUUGCUCCUGUACUCUGCAGUGUCAAUUUCUUAGAGAGAUUGAGCAGGGCUGCCAGAGGCAUUCUUCUUUGUCAAAUGUUGCACUUAUUAUUGAGUUUGUACCCAGGGAAACAUUUAUCUCUUGUGGCAGCGUUGCUGAGGCCAGAUUUGGUCCUAGUGAAGUUAAAGGAGGUCUUGUUAGAGCAGAAAGGAUAGUGUUGAGUGAAUGAGAGUAAUUAACUUGAAGAUGUGUGAUCAUGGUGUCAGCAUAGUAAAUUGCCACAAGGAUUGAGAGUCAGAGGCCUUCCACAGCUGGAGAUGCUCAGAAUAAGCUCAUUUGAGAUCACUACGCAUUUCUUAGACACACCUUUGGUUGACCUUUCUUCCAGACUCUGUUUUUAAAUAAGAGUCUGGAAUCCCACAAGGAUUCUUUAUUAAUGAGAAGCAAUGGGUGCAUCUGAUUUAUUGGUGAUAUACAGAUUUAAAAAAAAAAAUCACAGUAUCAGUACUUUCUGAUCCAAGACAUAUUAUCAUCAAAACACACACAAUGUAACCAGAGAAAUUGUGGCUAAGAUUGCAUUGUCUCAUGGACUGUUUCUUCCCUUUUCCUAUCUACCUUUACAAUAACCAUGGGACCAGUGCAUCCCUAAAAGAAGAAGCAAAGUCU